rnacentral:rRNA from 1 species
CUCCUGGGAAGUCCUCGUGUUGCACCCGGUGCGAUCAUACCAACACUAAUGCACCGGA